rnacentral:rRNA from 1 species
AUUGAACGCUGGCGGCAUGCCUUACACAUGCAAGUCGAACGGCAGCACGGGAGCAUUCCUGGUGGCGAGUGGCGAACGGGUGAGUAAUAUAUCGGAACGUGCCCAGUCGUGGGGGAUAACGCAGCGAAAGCUGUGCUAAUACCGCAUACGAUCUACGGAUGAAAGCGGGGGAUCGCAAGACCUCGCGCGAUUGGAGCGGCCGAUAUCAGAUUAGCUAGUUGGUGGGGUAAAGGCCCACCAAGGCGACGAUCUGUAGCUGGUCUGGGAGGACGACCAGCCACACUGGAACUGAGACACGGUCCAGACUCCUACGGGAGGCAGCAGUGGGGAAUUUUGGACAAUGGGCGCAAGCCUGAUCCAGCAAUGCCGCGUGCAGGAUGAAGGCCUUCGGGUUGUAAACUGCAUUUGUACGGAACGAAACGGCCCUUUCUAAUACAGGGGGCUAAUGACGGUACCGUAAGAAUAAGCACCGGCUAACUACGUGCCAGCCGCCGCGGUAA